UUAAGCGACUAAGCGUACACGGUGGAUGCCCUGGCAGUCAGAGGCGAUGAAGGGCGUGCUAAUCUGCGAUAAGCGCCGGUAAGGUGAUAUGAACCGUUAUAACCGGCGAUACCCGAAUGGGGAAACCCAGUGUGAUUCGUCACACUAUCAUUAACUGAAUCCAUAGGUUAAUGAGGCGAACCGGGGGAACUGAAACAUCUAAGUACCCCGAGGAAAAGAAAUCAACCGAGAUUCCCCCAGUAGCGGCGAGCGAACGGGGAGGAGCCCAGAGCCUGAAUCAGCAUGUGUGUUAGUGGAAGCGUCUGGAAAGGCGCGCGAUACAGGGUGACAGCCCCGUACACAAAAGCGCAUGUGCUGUGAGCUCGAUGAGUAGGGCGGGACACGUGGUAUCCUGUCUGAAUAUGGGGGGACCAUCCUCCAAGGCUAAAUACUCCUGACUGACCGAUAGUGAACCAGUACCGUGAGGGAAAGGCGAAAAGAACCCCGGCGAGGGGAGUGAAAAAGAACCUGAAACCGUGUACGUACAAGCAGUGGGAGCACAGGUUUACCUGUGUGACUGCGUACCUUUUGUAUAAUGGGUCAGCGACUUAUAUUCUGUAGCAAGGUUAACCGAAUAGGGGAGCCGGAGGGAAACCGAGUCUUAAUUGGGCGUUAAGUUGCAGGGUAUAGACCCGAAACCCGGUGAUCUAGCCAUGGGCAGGUUGAAGGUUGGGUAACACUAACUGGAGGACCGAACCGACUAAUGUUGAAAAAUUAGCGGAUGACCUGUGGCUGGGGGUGAAAGGCCAAUCAAACCGGGAGAUAGCUGGUUCUCCCCGAAAGCUAUUUAGGUAGCGCCUCGUGAAUUCAUCUCCGGGGGUAGAGCACUGUUUCGGCUAGGGGGCCAUCCCGGCUUACCAACCCGAUGCAAACUGCGAAUACCGGAGAAUGUUAUCACGGGAGACACACGGCGGGUGCUAACGUCCGUCGUGAAGAGGGAAACAACCCAGACCGCCAGCUAAGGUCCCAAAGUCAUGGUUAAGUGGGAAACGAUGUGGGAAGGCCCAGACAGCCAGGAUGUUGGCUUAGAAGCAGCCAUCAUUUAAAGAAAGCGUAAUAGCUCACUGGUCGAGUCGGCCUGCGCGGAAGAUGUAACGGGGCUAAACCAUGCACCGAAGCUGCGGCAGCGAACGUAUCACUUAAAGCGAUUCAGCGGGUUACGAUUGACGGAGCGAAGCGACGUCAAAGCGUAUACAAAGUCGAGUCGGUUUAAGGAUACGUUCGUUGGGUAGGGGAGCGUUCUGUAAGCCUGUGAAGGUGGCCUGUGAGGGUUGCUGGAGGUAUCAGAAGUGCGAAUGCUGACAUAAGUAACGAUAAAGCGGGUGAAAAGCCCGCUCGCCGGAAGACCAAGGGUUCCUGUCCAACGUUAAUCGGGGCAGGGUGAGUCGACCCCUAAGGCGAGGCCGAAAGGCGUAGUCGAUGGGAAACGGGUUAAUAUUCCCGUACUUGGUGUUACUGCGAAGGGGGGACGGAGAAGGCUAUGUUGGCCGGGCGACGGUUGUCCCGGUUUAAGCGUGUAGGUGUGUGUUCCAGGUAAAUCCGGUUCACUUUAACACUGAGGCGUGACGACGAGGCACUACGGUGCUGAAGCAACAAAUGCCCUGCUUCCAGGAAAAGCCUCUAAGCAUCAGGUAACAUCAAAUCGUACCCCAAACCGACACAGGUGGUCAGGUAGAGAAUACCAAGGCGCUUGAGAGAACUCGGGUGAAGGAACUAGGCAAAAUGGUGCCGUAACUUCGGGAGAAGGCACGCUGACAUGUAGGUGAAGUGAUUUACUCAUGGAGCUGAAGUCAGUCGAAGAUACCAGCUGGCUGCAACUGUUUAUUAAAAACACAGCACUGUGCAAACACGAAAGUGGACGUAUACGGUGUGACGCCUGCCCGGUGCCGGAAGGUUAAUUGAUGGGGUCAGCGCAAGCGAAGCUCCUGAUCGAAGCCCCGGUAAACGGCGGCCGUAACUAUAACGGUCCUAAGGUAGCGAAAUUCCUUGUCGGGUAAGUUCCGACCUGCACGAAUGGCGUAAUGAUGGCCAGGCUGUCUCCACCCGAGACUCAGUGAAAUUGAACUCGCUGUGAAGAUGCAGUGUACCCGCGGCAAGACGGAAAGACCCCGUGAACCUUUACUAUAGCUUGACACUGAACAUUGAGCCUUGAUGUGUAGGAUAGGUGGGAGGCUUUGAAGUGUGGACGCCAGUCUGCAUGGAGCCGACCUUGAAAUACCACCCUUUAAUGUUUGAUGUUCUAACGUGGACCCGUUACCCGGGUUGCGGACAGUGUCUGGUGGGUAGUUUGACUGGGGCGGUCUCCUCCUAAAGAGUAACGGAGGAGCACGAAGGUUGGCUAAUCCUGGUCGGACAUCAGGAGGUUAGUGCAAUGGCAUAAGCCAGCUUGACUGCGAGCGUGACGGCGCGAGCAGGUGCGAAAGCAGGUCAUAGUGAUCCGGUGGUUCUGAAUGGAAGGGCCAUCGCUCAACGGAUAAAAGGUACUCCGGGGAUAACAGGCUGAUACCGCCCAAGAGUUCAUAUCGACGGCGGUGUUUGGCACCUCGAUGUCGGCUCAUCACAUCCUGGGGCUGAAGUAGGUCCCAAGGGUAUGGCUGUUCGCCAUUUAAAGUGGUACGCGAGCUGGGUUUAGAACGUCGUGAGACAGUUCGGUCCCUAUCUGCCGUGGGCGCUGGAGAACUGAGGGGGGCUGCUCCUAGUACGAGAGGACCGGAGUGGACGCAUCACUGGUGUUCGGGUUGUCAUGCCAAUGGCACUGCCCGGUAGCUAAAUGCGGAAGAGAUAAGUGCUGAAAGCAUCUAAGCACGAAACUUGCCCCGAGAUGAGUUCUCCCUGAGACUUAGAGUCUCCUGAAGGAACGUUGAAGACGACGACGUUGAUAGGCCGGGUGUGUAAGCGCAGCGAUGCGUUGAGCUAACCGGUACUAAUGAACCGUGAGGCUUAACCUU
rnacentral:rRNA from 1 species